rnacentral:lncRNA from 1 species
UCUAUGUAUCCACACAUGUAUAUAAGUCUUCAUUCAAUACAAUUAUAGCAUGGAUAAUAAACGAUUAUCUUGAUACAGGAAUUAUAAUAAUAACUAUAUUUAUUAUUGCCUCUAGGGCAUAAUUCCAACAUCUUCUGGUUGUAUUCUUCUCUUCUCUCAUCGGACAUUCGUGCAUACCAACUCAGAGCACCCUUAUUAAUUUGAUCCCGCUGAGCUAUAUGUUGGCAUCGCCUUUUCUGUUUUUUGUCUGAUGCAAUGACUGCGCUUGAAGCAAGUUGUUGAGGACCAGCGUGUGAGGUGUUGAGCGUUGGUGCUAUAUAUGAAACAAUAUCAUGCUCAGCGGUGCUACGUGUUCCUCCAAGUGAUGCAUGAUGAUCAUUGUAGCUGGCUUCACGAG